AUGCGGCACGUCUGCAGAAAGAGCAGGACUCUUCACACAGAUCUGAAUGGACUGUGUUAAAAGAAUGUUUGAUUUUGAGUCCUGAAUCUACCUAAUCGCUGCAGUCAUACUAAUUGCAGUGCUCCACAGUUUUCUGGGUCUUCAUUGUCAGUCUACCUGCAGACCCGGAUAUGCGCCUCAGUUUAGUAUUUUCUCUUGUAACCAUGUGUCAGUGGUGUUUCCCUUCGUGCUGAAUGUCUGACUAUCAGAGCAGAGGGGGACCAGUUGAAAGCUGCUCUUUAGCAGCGUGCAUGGAGAAAUGUAAGAUCGAUUCAUCCCCCACUUUUGUUUUUUGUUUCUCUUCACCUCAGCAGGCUCCGUGCAUUGGAGCGACAAAAAACCCCAACAAACUCUUAAAGAGAAAUCUGCAGAUAUCAUCACAAGCUUAGGAAUAUGGAUGGAGAAAGAUGAGAAGGGAACAGCAUGGAUGUCGUAGAAGCAGCUGCCCAACUGAGGAAAGGAAUCAGCAGGAACUCAACAAACUAUUCAUUAACCAGUUCCAUACUUUAAUAUUUGGUUUUCAACAACUGGUUACAAAGUGCCUACUGACAGUGCAGACACAUGAAAUGUGUGAUAAAUGUAUUUCUGGAAAAGCAUUAAAGAAGAAUAGAUCUUGAGAAUGUUCCAAGACCCAAUGAAAGCAGGAAGGGAAAGAAGCUGUGGUCAGAACUCAGCUCAACUAAGUACAUAGGGAACGCUUUUAAGUUCACACUAUAACGAAGCCUUUCUAAUAUGCUUACUCUGGUAAUUUUCCCGCUCUUUAUAUCAAUUUCAUGUUUUAAGUACCAUCAUUUUACAAAACUUCUCACAAAUAAAUGUUAACAAGCAACUUAAACUAUUGUGAAAUAAAAUACUAAAAGUUA